rnacentral:rRNA from 1 species
UACGUAGGGGGCUAGCGUUGUCCGGAAUCAUUGGGCGUAAAGCGCGUGUAGGCGGUCCGAUAAGUCCGCUGUGAAAGUCGAGGGCUCAACCCUCGAAUGCCGGUGGAUACUGUCGGGCUUGAGUACGGGAGAGGCGAGUGGAAUUCCUGGUGUAGCGGUGAGAUGCGCAGAUAUCAGGAGGAACACCGAUUGCGAAGGCAGCUCGCUGGAACGUUACUGACGCUGAGACGCGAAAGCGUGGGGAGCAAACAGG